rnacentral:lncRNA from 1 species
GACAAUGAGGAUGUUAGCUGAGAAGAGGGAGUCCUGAAAUGCCAGUUAACCCAGCAGAAGUUGAUAAGCUCACUCACAGCCAGGGACAUGGUUUCCCAGGUAUACAGUUCUAUUGUAAAGGAGGCGAUGGGUUUCUUCUCCUCUGCCGACCCACUGAAUUUUAUAAGAAAAGCCAGUGGGCUCCCAGACAAAGUUAAAAAGGUACCUUCUUUAAUUUUGCAUAUUGUUAGCUGCAAUCCGGUUGCUAAUGUUUGUUUU